rnacentral:rRNA from 1 species
GAUGAACGCUGACGGCGUGCCUAAUACAUGCAAGUCGAGCGAACGGACGAGAAGCUUGCUUCUCUGAUGUUAGCGGCGGACGGGUGAGUAACACGUGGAUAACCUACCUAUAAGACUGGGAUAACUUCGGGAAACCGGAGCUAAUACCGGAUAAUAUUUUGAACCGCAUGGUUCAAAAGUGAAAGACGGUCUUGCUGUCACUUAUAGAUGGAUCCGCGCUGCAUUAGCUAGUUGGUAAGGUAACGGCUUACCAAGGCAACGAUGCAUAGCCGACCUGAGAGGGUGAUCGGCCACACUGGAACUGAGACACGGUCCAGACUCCUACGGGAGGCAGCAGUAGGGAAUCUUCCGCAAAGGGCGAAAGCCUGACGGAGCAACGCCGCGUGAGUGAUGAAGGUCUUCGGAUCGUAAAACUCUGUUAUUAGGGAAGAACAUAUGUGUAAGUAACUGUGCACAUCUUGACGGUACCUAAUCAGAAAGCCACGGCUAACUACGUG